GAAAUAUAGAACUGCAAUUCUAAUCAUGUUGUGAUCUCCACUUCAUCUCCAUUUUGGAAUUCAUCAUCAAAGGGAUGAUUAGUGUUAUAGCCUCAUUUCACAACACAGAUGAUUAGGGUAGUGUUUGAUUGUCUGUUGAACAAAUCAAUUCAUGUCAGCACAAGACCACCAGCCAGAAAUUCAUGAAAUUGGCCCACUAAUAUACAAUAGAUGACUGCAGCUGCAGUUUUAAGGCACAUUAAGACGCCACUAACCCACAAUAGAUAACUUCAGGUUCAAUGAGCCUAUGAAUAGGAGUAUAGUCCCAAGUUCAUCUUGAGGCACAUUGUAACCCUUUUACAAGAGCACGCUGACUGAACGCGCUGACUGAACGCUCAGUGCCCACACCACAGAUAAAAGGAAGCAUAUUAGUGGUGAAUACCAGCAACCUUAAUACAUAUAUCCAACUUGAAUAAAAAGAUAAAGAGGGUUUUUCCACGAUAAUCCCUGGAUACCGAUAAUUCCUGCUCUCGGGGACAAUCUCAAAAGGUUCAAUGGUACAACCUUCGAGCCUUUCUGGUCUUCCAAGCUUGUAUCAAACGUAGAUCAGUACCCAGAGAUACCAUAGAAUACCAAAAGGUAAGUAAAACUUUUGCAACAAAUCCUAAGUAACAAAGUGCAAAAGAUUAUCAUGAUAUAAACAUAAUGUUUUUGUAAGUCUGUACAAACAAAACAGAAAAUCACAAUGCCAGUUAAACACAAUAUGAUGGCAACACUGCAUUAAACUUAACUACA
rnacentral:misc_RNA from 1 species